UAACUGCCCCGCCGGCGUCUCCGCCUCGGGGGGAAGAUGCGGCCUGCCGCUCCCGCCGCCUGGCCCCCGGGCUCACGGCCGGGCCGGGGCCACUGACGAGGAAGGUCCCGGCUGCCGGACUGCGGGGCCGCGGGCACCAGUGAAAUUCCAUUUUCUGGCUGGAGACACAGAUGGCCUCAAAUGAGAGAGAUGCUAUAUCGUGGUACCAAAAGAAGAUUGGAGCAUAUGAUCAGCAGAUAUGGGAAAAGUCAAUCGAACAGACUCAGAUUAAGGGCUUCAAAAACAAACCAAAAAAGAUGGGUCACAUAAAGCCAGACUUGAUUGAUGUUGACUUAAUCAGAGGCUCAACAUUUGCCAAAGCCAAACCUGAAAUUCCGUGGACAUCUCUGACUCGGAAGGGGCUUGUUCGAGUUGUAUUUUUUCCCUUGUUCAGCAGUUGGUGGAUUCAGGUUACCUCCUUAAGAAUCUUUGUUUGGCUGCUACUGCUUUACCUCAUGCAAGUUCUAGCACUCGUGUUAUAUUUUAUGAUGCCUAUUGUGAAUGUGAGUGAAGUCCUGGGACCCUUGUGCCUUAUGUUACUCAUGGGGACUGUCCACUGUCAAAUUGUGUCUACUCAGAUAACAAGGCCAUCAGGAAACAAUGGAAAUCGGAGAAGAAGAAAAUUACGAAAAACUGUUAAUGGUGAUGGGAGCCGAGAAAAUGGAAGUAACUCCUCUGAUAAAGUCAGAGGAGUAGAAACUUUGGAAUCUGCACCCUUUAUUGGUGGUUUUUGGGGGACUCUCUUUGGCAACAGGAUUAAAAGAGUAAAAUUAAUAUGUAACAAAGGCACUGAAACUGACAAUGACUCAAGUUGUCUGCGUCCUAUCAUUAAGAAGAGACAGUGUCGACCAGAGAUCAGAAUGUGGCAAACAAGAGAGAAAGCAAAAUUUUCAGAUGGAGAAAAGUGCCACAGGGAGGAUUUUAGGCGUGUGGGUAAUGGGAUUUCAGAUGAUCUGUCAAGUGAGGAAGACGGUGAAGCCCGGACACAGAUGAUGAUACUGCGUAGGAGUGUGGAAGGGGCCUCCAGUGACAAUGGUUGUGAGGUUAAGAAUAGAAAAUCAAUCCUUUCAAGGCAUCUAAGCUCUCAGGUAAAGAAAACCACUACUAAGUGGUGUCAUAUUGUGCGGGAUUCAGAUAGUCUGGCUGAAUCAGAAUUUGAAUCAGCAGCCUUCAGUCAGGGCUCUAGGUCUGGCAUGAGUGGUGGCUCUCGAAGCCUCAACAUGUCGAGAAGAGAUUCAGAAAGCACCCGCCAUGACUCUGAGACCGAGGAUAUGUUAUGGGAUGACCUGCUGCAUGGCCCAGAGUGCCGGUCGUCUGUCACCAGUGACAGUGAGGGGGCCCAUGUGAAUACCCUUCACUCAGGGACCAAACGUGACCCCAAAGAGGAUGUUUUCCAGCAGAACCAUUUAUUCUGGCUUCAGAACUCAAGUCCUGCCUCUGAUCGAGUUAGUGCAAUAAUCUGGGAAGGGAAUGAGUGCAAAAAGAUGGAUAUGUCUGUGUUGGAAAUAAGUGGCAUCAUCAUGAGCAGGGUUAAUGCAUAUCAGCAAGGAGUAGGUUAUCAGAUGCUGGGAAAUGUCGUCACCAUCGGAUUAGCAUUUUUUCCUUUUUUACAUCGACUUUUCCGUGAGAAGAGCCUUGACCAGCUAAAGUCCAUUUCAGCUGAGGAGAUCUUGACUCUCUUUUGUGGGGCACCACCUGUUACACCUAUUAUUAUUUUGUCUAUAAUUAAUUUUUUUGAACGAUUGUGUCUUACUUGGAUGUUUUUUUUCAUGAUGUGUGUGGCAGAGAGAACAUAUAAACAGAGAUUUUUAUUUGCAAAACUCUUCAGCCAUAUUACUUCUGCCAGGAAAGCUAGGAAAUAUGAAAUACCUCAUUUCAGACUUAAAAAGGUGGAGAACAUUAAGAUAUGGUUAUCACUGCGUUCCUUUCUAAAGAGACGGGGACCCCAACGUUCCGUUGAUGUGGUCGUGUCUUCAGUGUUCUUACUGACGCUUUCAAUCGCUUUCAUCUGUUGUGCCCAGGUUCUCCGAGGACAUAAAACUUUCCUGAAUGAUGCUUAUAACUGGGAGUUUUUGAUCUGGGAAACAGCUUUACUACUUUUCUUACUGCGCCUGGCCUCAUUGGGAUCUGAAACCAAUAAGAAAUACAGCAAUGUUUCAAUAUUACUUACUGAACAGAUUAAUUUAUAUCUUAAGAUGGAAAAAAAGCCGAAUAAGAAAGAACAGCUUACUCUAGUAAACAAUGUAUUAAAGCUGUCCACCAAGUUGCUGAAAGAGCUGGACACACCAUUUAGACUCUAUGGACUGACAAUGAAUCCCUUAAUCUACAAUAUCACGCGAGUAGUUAUCCUUUCUGCUGUCUCGGGUGUUAUAAGUGAUCUUCUAGGAUUUAAUAUAAGACUGUGGAAAAUUAAGUCAUAAGCUGAGUCAUGUGCCUGGACUCUCUCCCCUUGCUGACAUCAAUACUUACCCAUUAAGGAAAGCGAUGACUGCAGAAACCAUGGGAUACCACCUUCUUCUUCACACACAGAGGGGACCUCGGCUCCGCCUCAUCUAACGAAUGUAAACAUGUAGAAAAAUUCUAAAUACCAGGAUGUCUCACAAAGUAUAAGCUUACGGGUCUAUGUUUUUACGUUUGGUUCAUUGUAUUUAGAGGUAAGUGGACCUGUGUAUUAUAAAAAUAACACUCUUUCAAAUUAAUGAGAUUCACUUUGGAAAUUUUUUAGAUAUACACACUCAUAAUGGACCAAAUGGGUCUCACUCUCAAAUUUAUCAUUUGGGAUUAUCAAGAAGUAAAUUCAUCAGUCUCAUCUAUACAUGUAUUGACUAGUUUAGCCAUUCAAAGUAAUCCUUUGCUUCUUACAGUUACUGGUGCCUAUCUUGAAUAAUGAAGUUUGAAUUUCACAAAUGUGCAAUAAUUCCAUACCUUUCCUGUAGCAUGUCCUGAGCCCUAAGCUGCAAUAAGGAUUACUCAAGGUCAAGGUAACAAAUGACUGUUGUUUAUGGACAAAAUAAGCCUCUUGAUUUGUGUAUUUGCUAAUAGUUCUGCUUGACUUUAAUGCACACAUUGUCAAAGAGAUGAAUACCCACCAGAUUCUUUGUCAAAACGUAAGUUUAGGCUGAAUUAAAUCACUUGGCUAUGUUUUUGUACUUUAAUGUACAUGUGAGAAAGAUUCAGAGUUCUCUAGCAGAUAGAAUUGCACUCUUCAUAAGCCUUCAUACUCCCUUCUUAUACUUAAGGCUUUAUUUGCAUAGCACUAUUGAAAACAGAUCCAAGUUAGUGGAUAUCUUAAACUAAUUCGGUUAACUAAAGCAGAGUUUAUAGAUUUCAUAUAAUAGUUGUGGUGUGCUUUAAACAAGUCGUAUUGCUGAUAAACCUUAACAGCAUGACCAGUAAAGAGCUGCCUAAAUAAAUAAAUCUCUUAUUGUUUAAAAAGCACAGAUAGCUCUUAGGCGUUGGAGCAUGCCAUGAUGAUGUAAAAAGUUACUCCGAUGUAUUCUUCACACCAGACUGAACAUCAGGUCUCGUGACUGAAGGCCAAGUUUAAACCAGUGUUCCUUUAGUUCCAGGAGCACACUAUGGACUAAGCCGCAGCUUAGACACAUCUUCACGGAGGUUUUAGGCAUUAUUAAUAACAAGAAUUAAAUGAAAUCAAGUCAAAACAAACACUUCAUUCUAAAAGUCACAGCCGUUUCUCGGCCACACCAGUCGUGCCUGUGGCUCUGUGUGCACUCGGCACCUUCCAGGGCCCUGGAGUUAUCGGUGUCUUCUUAGCUGGAGAACCGCUUUCAG